GGCGGGGGCGGGGCAUUUGCUCAGAGGAAAGGAUUGGUAUCGGUCAGAGGGGUCUGGUGGAGCGGUCCAGCGGAGCCCGAGGCUCUCUGUCCCAACGACGACGGGCUCCAGCUCCAGCACCACUGGCCACAGGAAGGUGUCUGCCAGCACACUCAUCCCUUCCCCUCCAUGAGGUGACAGCAGGCCCAUGUGACAAACAGACCUGGAAGCGAGAUUAAGCCCCCAGCUUUCCAUACCAGGCACCACCACGGCUUACCUCCAAUGCAG